UUCUGGAAGCUAAUAUAAAUACAAAUCGUAAGCAUUCAAAUAACUGUAAAUAAAUUUAAUUAAAACGUUUUAAUAUUACUCUACUCUCAAUCGUCGAAUUCCCGAGCAAAAGCUACCUCAAACCCUGACCUAAUUACUGGAGAAAUAGAUUUUAAUAUUAAAUAUUAAUUUAGACCGCAAAGAUGAUUUUUGAAAGUAUUUUAAUUUUGACAAUGACACUAACAUCUAUAAAUUCAGUAGCGAUCGGUCCAGAACCGACGAUUGACGGAGAAUCGGCUAGACAUUAUGAUUCACGAUAUUCAAUAUUUGACAAACCUUAUACAGUUGAUUUUAAGUAUCACAAUUACGAUAAAAUGAGUCGAUUUUUACGAGCCACAUCUCUUCGCUUCCAAAAUCUCACUGCCCUUUAUUCUAUUGGAAAAUCUGUUAAAGGACGUGACUUAUGGGUUAUGGUUGUUUCUUCUUCGCCGUAUGAACACAUGAUAGGCAAACCUGAUGUCAAAUAUGUAGCUAAUAUUCAUGGUAAUGAAGCUGUAGGUCGUGAAUUAAUGUUACAUCUUAUCCAUUUAUUAGUGACAAAAUACGGAUCUGACGCAUAUAUAACAUGGCUAUUAGACAAUACAAGAAUUCAUAUUCUUCCUUCAAUGAAUCCGGACGGCUUUGAAGUAUCUAAAGAAGGCUUUUGCGAAGGCAGCCAGGGCAGAUACAAUGCUCGAGGGUUUGACUUGAAUCGUAAUUUUCCCGAUUAUUUCAAGCAGAAUAACAAGAAAACUCAACCGGAAACAGAAGCGGUGAGAGAAUGGGUGUCAAAAAUCCAAUUUGUACUAUCCGGAAGUUUACACGGGGGUGCUCUUGUGGCCAGCUAUCCGUUCGAUAAUACUCCAAACUCGCGAUUAUGUCGAUCAGCACCAUUGUGCGCAAUGUUCCAGAGUUAUUCAUCAGCACCGAGUAUUUCUCCCGACGACGAUGUGUUCCGUCAUUUAUCAUUAACAUACUCACAGAACCAUGGAUCAAUGCAUCGAGGAGAAGCUUGCUCACCAUCUCAACGAGGCUUUAAAAAUGGAAUAACCAACGGAGCUGAAUGGUACCCACUUACCGGUGGUAUGCAAGACUUUAAUUACGUGUGGAAUGGCUGCAUGGAGAUAACAUUUGAGUUGUCCUGCUGUAAAUACCCACCAGCUGAAGAUCUCAAGCAUUACUGGGAAGAAAACCGUGUCUCUCUGAUAAAAUUCUUGGCAGAAGCCCACCGGGGUGUGCAUGGAUUUGUAGUCGAUGAAAAUGGCAAUCCUAUUGAAAGAGCAUCUGUUAAAGUUAAAGGAAGAGAUGUCAGUUUUCUUACCACAAAAUAUGGUGAAUUCUGGAGGAUUCUUAUGCCUGGAAUUUAUAAACUUGAAGUUUAUGCAAACGGAUACGCUCCUCGUGACAUAGAGUUUAUGGUGAUUGAACAGCAUCCUACUCUUCUUAAUGUCACAUUACACAGUACUAAGAAAUGGAAACAUAACAAAGAGGAUGAUGAUGAUAAUAAUAGUGAUGAUGAUGAUGAUGAUGAUGAUGAUGAUGAUGAUGAUGAUGUUGUUGAUGAUGGUGAUGGUAAUGAGGAUAUUAACGAUGAUAGUAAUGGAGAUAAUAUUAAUUGGAGUCAAAGUAAAGUUCGAGGGACAGAUAAAACUAAAACAACCGGUGAUCAAUGGCAUAAGUCAAUAUCUUCAGGGCCCUUGGAUUACAAGUUCCCGGUACAAGAAUCCGCUGACUCCGAAUCCGUUCUAUUUCCUUCCUCCUAAAAAUUAACUUCUUAACUAUAAUUAUUUUUUUUUUUAAUUAUCUUUAUCCAUGUCCUUUUUUACAUGCACAAUAUAUUUCACUCCCUUGUCCUAAUUAAUUUUCUACUUUAUACUUUAUAUUAUAGACAAGAUGACUCCGUAGAUGGUCAUUACGGAGGAAACGGAGGAGCAGUACGCCCUUACCCUCACCGAGAUUACACACUCCACAUUAGACCAAGUGGUUCAACUUAUUCCACCGUCUCAUCAGAAUCAAACAAUG
rnacentral:misc_RNA from 1 species